rnacentral:ncRNA from 1 species
ACGGUGCUAUAUGCAGCCGUACUUAAUAGGGAAGACCGGUGAGAUACCGGCGCGGUCCCGCCACUGUAACAGAGAUGUAGCUUGCACUAUGCCACUGGUUCAUGAGAUGAACUGGGAAGGCGCAUAGCUUACGUAUCUUCCUCUGGAGCCAGGAGACCUGCCUGUUUUGA